ACGAAUCUUUUUGAAACCCUACCAUAUAAUCCUCCAAAACUAUGUAGGUAUAUUAUUUAAUUGACUCAUUGAGAACAUGACUUUUGAGCUCUUGAACCUUCACCAUGUUCCUUCAUCACGUUACUUGAUCCCGUAUUUGUUCUGGUGCUAAUCCAAAUUGCUUGUCCGUCCAAGAGUGUUUUGUGGCAGUGAUUAGUAAACUACUAUUUGCAUAUUUACCUACUGCAUUAACUUCUCUUAAAUUUAUGUAGCAUUAAUUGCUUAGCUUCUUUAUAAUUUUAGGGUUUCUCUUAUCACAUCCCUCUUUCUUCUGAUUCUCCGACUAUCUUGAGUCUUCUUAACUGUCAUUUUAUGGUUUCUAUGAAAUUAUUGAUAAUUAUGUCUACAAUUAGGGAAAUAGCCGUGAGAGUUGAAGUUUUUGGUUAUCAUUGCCUAUUUUGUGUAUUUCGCCAAUAAGAAGGAAAAUCUAAAAGAAUUUCAGAAGAAAAUAAUACUAGCUUGGUGUUAACCCAAAAAAUAUGAGAUGAAUUACUCAGCACGGGGUGCAGCUGACAGGGGCGUAUGAAGAAAGUGAGACGCUGACUUUGAGGUGAGCAGCUCAAGUCAAGCUUGACGACUUACGACAACCAGAUAGUCUCUAGAUCGCUUCUUGCGCCAACUACUUAGUUCGAGAUGUAUGUUACCCAGAUCGCCUUCACGAAGCUCUAAACAUGACCCAAGCUAGUUCAGAUUAGUCCGACGACAUCCAGCUCGUAGGAAGGGUUCAGCUCGUGGAAGUCAUGAUGCACAGUGAAGGAUGCCAAAAGACUUGAGAUUCUUUAUACACCUAAUAAAUGCCCAUGUGUUAUUAUGCAAUUAUUACCUGAUACAAUGAGUAUAAAUUUAAUAGGUGAUCCUAUAUUUAUGUAAAUGGGAAGUUACCCAAAUUGGGCAAUUACCAUAUUAAUGCACGGUUACCAAAAAUUGUUCAAGAAAAUCUCCUAUUAAUAUAGGGAGAAUGGACAGUUAAAGGGAUCGACUUUCUAUUUGCAAAUACUCUUCGAAAAUUGUCAAACAAUUUUCUCUAUAGUCCUAAACAGAUCAAUAAGAGUGAUUCGUGGACUAGGUAGAUUCUAAUCAUUGAACCACGUAAAAUUGUGAGUAUUUUAUA